rnacentral:rRNA from 1 species
CAGUAGCCGCGGUAACACGGAGGGUGCAAGCGUUAAUCGGAAUUACUGGGCGUAAAGCGCACGCAGGCGGUCUGUCAAGUCGGAUGUGAAAUCCCCGGGCUCAACCUGGGAACUGCAUUCGAAUCUGGCAGGCUAGAGUCUUGUAGAGGGGGGUAGAAUUCCAGGUGUAGCGGUGAAAUGCGUAGAGAUCUGGAGGAAUACCGGUGGCGAAGGCGGCCCCCUGGACAAAGACUGACGCUCAGGUGCGAAAGCGUGGGGAGCAAACAGGAUUAGAUACCCCUGUAGUCCCUGUCUCUUAUAC